GAAGAGCUGCCUGGGCUGCAGCCGCGGAAGCUGCGUUCUGGGGAGCGGGGAGCGUGCUCCGGCGCCUUCGGGCCGCUGCUGGAAGCCGGAACCGAGCCCGGGCCGCUGCCCCUCACCGGACGCCGCGCGCCACCGGCCCUCCGCGGGGCAGGGGCUGCUGCGAGCUCGCCGGGCGCCCUUUAGACGCAUUUAAGGAAAUCUGUUUCUCUUUUGGAUCACUAGCUGCAAAUUAAGCUAACAGAACAGGAGCUCAGCUGGUCACACACAGCAACGAAUACAGACUUUAUAAAGUUCAGAAAAGUUACCAAACAGUGGUAACCAUAACAAGUACCAACAAUGAACUAUGGGGAGGGAGGAGAAUCUGAUUUCCAGAGUUACCACAUUAUAAUACUAUUCAAAAUGUCACAUUUUUAGCAAAGAUUACAUGACAAGGAAAAACCAGAAAAGUAUGGCCCAUACACAGGUAAAAAAAGAAAUUAAUAGAAACUACCCCUGAAGAAGCACAGACUUCGGAUGUACAAAACAAAGACUUUUCAUCAACUCUUUUAGAUAUGCUAGAAGAGCUAAAGGAAACCAUGGACAGAGAACAAAAAAAUUAGGAAAGCAAUGUCUCAUCCAAUACAGAAUAUCAAUAAAGAGAUUGAAAUUGUAGAAAAGAACCAAAUAGAAAUUCUGGAGUUGAAAAGUAUUAUAACUAAAACUGAAAAUUCACUAGAGGUAUUCAGCAGCAGACUGGAGAAGUCAGAAGAAAGAAUCAACAGGCUUCAAGAUAGGUCAAUUAAGAUUAUACAGUCUGAGGAGCAGAAAGGAAAAAGAAUGAAGAAAAAUGAACAGAGCAUAAAAGACCUCUGGGACUCUAUCAAGCAUACCAGUAUAUGCAUGAGGGGAGUCCCAGAAGGAGAAGAAAGAGAGAAAGGGACAUAAUAUUUGAAGAAAUAAUGGUAGAAAAUGUCCCAGCUUUGAUGAAAUACAUGAAUCUAGAUAUUCAAGAGGCUCAAAGAACCCUAAAUAGGGUAAACUCAAAAAGACCCACACCGGAAUGCAAAAGUGAGCUGGGUGUGGUGGCACGUGCCUGUGGUCCCAGCUACUCGAGAGGCUAAGGCAGGAAAAUCGCUUGAACCCAGGAGGCAGAGAUUGCGGUGAGCCGGGAUUGCGCCAGUGCACUCCAGCUGGGCGACAGAGCGAGAUUCCAUCUCGAAAAAAAAAAAAAAAAAAAAAAAAAACUAUUGCUGCAGUCAUUCAGAUGGAAAUGGGGAAAGAAUAAUAUUAACUGAUUUCAAAAAGGACUUGAAGAUGUGAAUCAUCUAUUUUGCUGAAGAAAUCUUAACUCUUUGAAAUUACUUUUUGUUGCUGUUGUCAUACUCUUAGGUGCCAAACUGCGGUAAAUUUUUUAUCAGUGAAGUGGAAGCAUGUGUUUUGUUGUUUUGGGAAUUUUUAUCAAGUAUCUUCAGAGAAGAUUAUUUCCUGCUUUAUCUUCAAAAACUGGAAAGGAAGGGUCAAAGAAAAGACAGUAGCUGGCCGGUCAUGGUGGCUCAUGCCUGUAAUCCCAACACUUUGGGAGGCUGAGGUGGGCAGAUCACCUGAGGUUGGGAGUUCGAGGCCAGCCUGACCAACGUGGAGAAAUGCCAUCUCUACUAAAGAUGCAAGGAUUGGCCGGGCGUGGUGGUGCGUGCCUGUGAUCCCAGCUGCUCAGGAGGCUGAGGCAGGAGAAUCGCUUGGACCUGGGAGGUGGAGGUUGCGGUGAGCUGAGAUCACGCCAUUGCACUCCAGCCUGGGCAACAAGCGAAACUCUGUCUCAAAAAAAAAGAAAAGACAGUAGCUUAUGUUCAUGUCAAGCACCUCUCAUCACAGUCUAGUUCCAAGGAAAAAAUUCCCAGCGUUUUCUACAUUCGGUGCUGCGUCAUCUGAAAUCGGCACAUUCCAUGGAGGAAGGAGUCCUGCUUUGUUGCAUGUAUCCUAGGGUUUAAUGUUGGUAAAUGAGUCACUCUAGCAUUUGUAGAAGGCUCCCUGAGACUCCUGCAGCAGUCGACCAAGCCCAAGGACAUAAUUGAAUCUGGAGAGUCCUGGGGCCUUGUUUUGAAAAAGACUUGAAAUACACAUAGGAAGAAAGGCAUAAAAAUAAAUGUUCACUUGUCUCUGCUGUGAGUAUGUGUUCCAACUUUUCAGUGAUGGAUUUGAGAAUGAGGACCCCUUCGCCAGGAAAACAUGUAUACACUCAA
rnacentral:lncRNA from 1 species